GAUGAACGCUGGCGGCGUGCCUAAUACAUGCAAGUCGAGCGAACAGACGAGGAGCUUGCUCCUCUGACGUUAGCGGCGGACGGGUGAGUAACACGUGGAUAACCUACCUAUAAGACUGGGAUAACUUCGGGAAACCGGAGCUAAUACCGGAUAAUAUAUUGAACCGCAUGGUUCAAUAGUGAAAGACGGUUUUGCUGUCACUUAUAGAUGGAUCCGCGCCGCAUUAGCUAGUUGGUAAGGCAACGGCUUACCAAGGCAACGAUGCGUAGCCGACCUGAGAGGGUGAUCGGCCACACUGGAACUGAGACACGGUCCAGACUCCUACGGGAGGCAGCAGUAGGGAAUCUUCCGCAAUGGGCGAAAGCCUGACGGAGCAACGCCGCGUGAGUGAUGAAGGUCUUCGGAUCGUAAAACUCUGUUAUUAGGGGAGAACAAAUGUGUAAGUAACUAUGCACGUCUUGACGGUACCUAAUCAGAAAGCCACGGCUAACUACGUG
rnacentral:rRNA from 1 species